GGGGAACUGAAACAUCUAAGUACCCCGAGGAAAAGAAAUCAACCGAGAUUCCCCCAGUAGCGGCGAGCGAACGGGGAGCAGCCCAGAGUCUGAAUCAGCUUGUGUGUUAGUGGAACGGUCUGGAAAGUCCGACGGUACAGGGUGAUACGUCCCGUAACACCAAAUGCACAGGCUGUGAACUCGAAGAGUAGGGCGGGACACGUGGUAUCCUGUCUGAAUAUGGGGGACCAUCCUCCAAGGCUAAAUACUCCUGACUGACCGAUAGUGAACCAGUACCGUGAGGGAAAGGCGAAAAGAACCCCGGCGAGGGGAGUGAAAAA
rnacentral:rRNA from 1 species